rnacentral:rRNA from 1 species
CCUACGGGUGGCAGCAGUGGGGAAUAUUGCACAAUGGGGGAAACCCUGAUGCAGCGACGCCGCGUGAGUGAAGAAGUAUCUCGGUACGUAAAGCUCUAUUAGCAGGGAAGAAAAUGACGGUACCUGACUAAGAAGCCCCGGCUAACUACGUGCCAGCAGCCGCGGUAAUACGGAGGGGGCAAGCGUUAUCCGGAUUUACUGGGCGUAAAGGGAGCGUAGACGGCAGCACAAGUCUGGAGUGAAAUCCCGGGGCUUAACCCCGGAACUGCUUUGGAAACUGUGAGGCUGGAGUGCAGGAGGGGUAAGCGGAAUUCCUGGUGUAGCGGUGAAAUGCGUAGAUAUUAGGAGGAACACCGAUGGCGAAGGCAGCUUACUGAACUGUAACUGACGUUGAGGCUCGAAAGCGUGGGGAGCAAACAGGAUUAGAUACCCUAGUAGUC